rnacentral:rRNA from 1 species
UACGUAGGGGGCUAGCGUUGUCCGGAAUCAUUGGGCGUAAAGCGCGUGUAGGCGGCCCGGUAAGUCCGCUGUGAAAGUCCAGGGCUCAACCCUGGGAUGCCGGUGGAUACUGUCGGGCUCGAGUCCGGAAGAGGCGAGUGGAAUUCCUGGUGUAGCGGUGAAAUGACGCAGAUAUCAGGAGGAACACCAAUGGCGAAGGCAGCUCGCUGGGACGUGACUGACGCUGAGACGCGAAAGCGUGGGGAGCAAACAGG